CAGUAGAGAAUCUUGUGCAAUGCACGAAAGUAUGACACAGAGAGGACACAUUUAAUUGAGCCCGUCAAAUUAAGUGCCAGCCGACGCGGUUAGACUUAAGGGCUGGUCUUUAUAAGUAAAAAGGCGUAAAGGAUGUGUAGGCCAAGAAAUUAUCCAAGAAGGUAAAUGGAAUUUUUCUGGAGCGGUAGAAUGUGAGGAUAGAAAAUAGAACACCUAAGGUUAAAACUAUUUACCACAAAAUAGGCUGAAACAUGAGAGUGUGGGGAGCAAACAGGAUUAGAGACCCUGGUAGUCCACUCUGUGAACUUUGAAGAUUAUGCUUAGCAGACCCGAAAGGUAAAAUCUUCCGCCUGAGUAGUACGAUCGCAAGAUUAAAAUUCAAAAACUUUGGCUGUUCACUAUUUCGAUUAGAGGAGCGUGUAGUUUAAUUCGAUGGUCCGCGUGUUACCUUACCCCAGCUUGAAUCUAUGACCGGUAUUGCAUGGCCGUCGUAAGUCCGUGUGUUAAACUAGAAGGGACCCAAUCCGGGCGUUUGCCCGAAGGAAGUCAGGUCUUAUGAUCCGAAUGUUGGGGGAUUUUAUGCGCUACAUUUUCUUAUAUAAUGAGAGACUUAAAAGGUAAGCCUCUAAAGUAAGAGUUCGGAAGGUCGCUGUAAAACGAUUGGAAGUUGGAUUUAAUAGUAAUCGGAAAGUAGGGCGUUCCGGUGAAUUGGUACAAGUGUUAGCACAAAUUGCCCGUCACCUUUACCUAGAA
rnacentral:rRNA from 1 species